rnacentral:rRNA from 1 species
CACGUAGGGGACGAGCGUUGUCCGGAUUCAUUGGGCGUAAAGCGCGCGUAGGCGGCUCGGAAAGUCGGUCGUGAAAUGCCGGGGCUCAACCCCGGGACUGCGUCCGAUACUCCCGAGCUGGAGGCAGGUAGGGGAGAUCGGAAUUCCUGGUGUAGCGGUGAAAUGCGCAGAUAUCAGGAGGAACACCGAUUGCGAAGGCAGCUCGCUGGGACGUUACUGACGCUGAGACGCGAAAGCGUGGGGAGCAAACAGG